CUUCCGGUUUGAUAUGGGACCGUUCUUGCCGGAUUGAGGGGCAGCAAGCUUCCUUAAGCAAUAAAAACCCCUGGCAUGCCCACGCAUGAUGCUUACGAUUUAUGCCCCGUGGGCCAGUCCUUGCAUGAAAUGUCUCCAAUAUUUGCUUUCCCAUGGGGCAUCUCCCCCCUUUUCUUUUUCUUUCGGCGGUGACUCAGUUCCGAUUAGGAAACAAGUGUUUGGCGAUGGCUUGUAAAAACUUUGCUGGCAGAGAAGCUAUUGGCACAACUCUGGAAGCAUUUUUUUCUGGCUCGAAUGCAAUCUUGAAAGCCAUCCAUAGGAGGAUGGCAAUGAAGAGUUCAUUGCUGGUGCAAAAACAUCAAGCAGAAGGAUGUGAAAAGGACCUCGGCCAUAAUGCCGAAAAGGACCUCGGCCACAGCCAAAGAGUUUGGCUGUGCUGCUCCUUAGGGGUCUCGGAAACUACGUCUCCCAGCUGCAAGGACACAGAGGAGAUAUCUUUCCAACAGGGAACUCCUGGCGCAUCUAACCAUGUGGCUCUAAAUGCAGUGCAUUGCUCUUGGGCCAGCGAUGCCCAAGAGCGGAGAAAACCUGCGUCCUUCAAAGGGCUUCUGCAAUCUCCUCUUAGCCGUCUCGCUCCUGGGCAUCUCGGCUACCAGCUGGACACAACGGUGUCCGACAGAGUCCUUCAACCUUCUGAGAGUCAUCAUGCAUCGCCUGGUAAGUGCGCAUUGUAAGGGAGAUGUUGCUGGAAUGGAGGGGAGUUUGCGCUUGGUGUGUCAAAACUCACCAAAAAACCUAGCAUGACUUGGGUGGUGUGUCACUUCGAGAAAAAAAACCAUAAUUUCACAAUAUGUAUAGUUUAAAUAACAAAAAUAUAUAAUUGUAAUAUAGAACUGUAUUUAAUAAAUCAAAAACUAUUUACUACCAUUAUUUCCAUGUACAACGAUCUAUGGUACCUCUUGCAGUUUCCACGCUGAUUUCUCUCUAUUGUAGUUUCAAUGUAGU
rnacentral:lncRNA from 11 species